rnacentral:rRNA from 1 species
CAGUCGCCGCGGUAAUGCGUAGGUGGCAAGCGUUGUCCGGAAUUAUUGGGCGUAAAGGGCUCGCAGGCGGUUUCUUAAGUCUGAUGUGAAAGCCCCCGGCUCAGCCGGGGAGGGUCAUUGGAAACUGGGAAACUUGAGUGCAGAAGAGGAGAGUGGAAUUCCACGUGUAGCGGCGAAAUGCGUAGAGAUGUGGAGGAACACCAGUGGCGAAGGCGACUCUCUGGUCUGUAACUGACGCUGAGGAGCGAAAGCGUGGGGAGCGAACAGGAUUAGAUACCCCCGUAGUCCCUGUCUCUUAUAC